UACGUAGGGGGCUAGCGUUGUCCGGAAUCAUUGGGCGUAAAGAGCUCGUAGGCGGCUUGUCACGUCGAUUGUGAAAGCCCGAGGCUUAACCUCGGGUCUGCAGUCGAUACGGGCUAGCUAGAGUGUGGUAGGGGAGAUCGGAAUUCCUGGUGUAGCGGUGAAAUGCGCAGAUAUCAGGAGGAACACCGGUGGCGAAGGCGGGUCUCUGGGCCGUAACUGACGCUGAGGAGCGAAAGCAUGGGGAGCGAACAGG
rnacentral:rRNA from 1 species